UCCUCUUCUCCAUCUGAAGAGAAGUGACUAAGGCUAACUUUCCUUUCUGAGUCUAUAAAAUGUGUAGCAGUACGGCCAGCAAGAACCAAGAACGGGAGCUAGUCAAGAUGUGCUGGAAUUUGAAGGAAGUUCCUAGACUUACAAACAGAUGGAAACCAGCACACUAGAGUCCCCUGUACACAGUCUGGAUCGCCUCCAAGCAACCCAAGCUCAGAGAAGUGCUUGCUUAGGCACUUCUGCCGGGAGUUACCACCUGAGUCAGUUUUAUGGAGGAAAACUGCCCACCUCUGCAGCGCAAACAGGAGGGAAGUGGAAAAGCUUCACAGCGUCCCUCUGGGACAGGAUGGCUCGGGGAAGCCAGGGUCAGAAACACAACAGAACCCGUGACAGCCAUUCACUGUCCAAGCACAGAGACUCAGAGAGGGUGCGUCUGCUGUGCAUGCCUCCAGCCAACAGUCAACCCUGCACUCAGGCAUUACGGCCAACACUCA